rnacentral:rRNA from 1 species
AAACCAACAGGGAUUACCUCAGUAACGGCGAGUGAAGCGGUAACAGCUCAAAUUUGAAAUCUGGCUCUUUCAGGGUCCGAGUUGUAAUUUGUAGAAGAUGCUUUGGGUGUGGCCCUGGUCUAAGUUCCUUGGAACAGGACGUCAUAGAGGGUGAGAAUCCCGUAUGUGACUAGGUGCUUUCGCCCGUGUAAAGCUCUUUCGACGAGUCGAGUUGUUUGGGAAUGCAGCUCAAAAUGGGUGGUAAAUUUCAUCUAAAGCUAAAUAUUGGCCAGAGACCGAUAGCGCACAAGUAGAGUGAUCGAAAGAUGAAAAGCACUUUGGAAAGAGAGUUAAACAGUACGUGAAAUUGUUGAAAGGGAAGCGCUUGCAACCAGACUUAGUUGCGGCCGAUCAUCUAGGGUUCUCCCUGGUGCACUCGGUNGUAANUAGGCCAGCAUCGGUUUGGGUGGUGGGAUAAAGGCCUUGGGAAUGUAGCUUCUUUCGGGGAGUGUUAUAGCCCUCGGUGCAAUGCCGCCUACCUGGACCGAGGACCGCGCUUCCGCUAGGAUGCUGGCGUAAUGGUUGUAAGCCAC